AUUUGACAAUGGGCGCAAGCCUGAUCCAGCCAUGCCGCGUGAGUGAUGAAGGCCUUANNNUUGUANANCUCUUUCAACGGUGANGANNAUGACGGUAACCGUAGAAGAAGCCCCGGCUAACUUCGUGCCAGCAGCCGCGGUAAUACGACGGGGGCUAGCGUUGUUCGGAAUUACUGGGCGUAAAGCGCACGUAGGCGGAUUGGUCAGUUAGGGGUGAAAUCCCAGGGCUCAACCCUGGAACUGCCUUUAAUACUGCCGGUCUAGAGUUCGAGAGAGGUGAGUGGAAUUCCGAGUGUAGAGGUGAAAUUCGUAGAUAUUCGGAGGAACACCAGUGGCGAAGGCGGCUCACUGGCUCGAUACUGACGCUGAGGUGCGAAAGCGUGGGGAGCAAACA
rnacentral:rRNA from 1 species